CCUACGGGAGGCAGCAGUGGGGAAUAUUGCACAAUGGGGGAAACCCUGAUGCAGCGACGCCGCGUGAGUGAAGAAGUAAUUCGUUAUGUAAAGCUCUAUCAGCAGGGAAGAAAAUGACGGUACCUGAGUCAGAAGCCCCGGCUAACUUCGUGCCAGCAGCCGCGGUAAUACGUAGGGGGCAAGAGUUAUCCGGAUUUACGGGGUGUAAAGGGAGCGUAGACGGCAGUGCAAGUCUGGAGUGAAAGGCGGGGGCUCAACCCCCGGACUGCUCUGGAAACUGUACGGCUGGAGUGCAGGAGAGGUAAGUGGAAUUCCUAGUGUAGCGGUGAAAUGUGUAGAUAUUAGGAGGAACACCAGUGGCGAAGGCGGCUUACUGAACUGUAACUGACGUUGAGGCUCGAAAGCGUGGGGAGCAAACAGGAUUAGAUACCCCAGUAGUC
rnacentral:rRNA from 1 species